GACGUAGGGGGCUAGCGUUGUCCGGAAUCAUUGGGCGUAAAGCGCGCGUAGGCGGCCCGGUAAGUCCGCUGUGAAAGUCAAAGGCUCAACCUUUGAAUGUCAGCGGAUACUGCCGGGCUAGAGUCCGGAAGAGGCGAGUGGAACUCCUGGUGUAGCGGUGGAAUGCGCAGAUAUCAGGAAGAACACCAACGGCGAAGGCAGCUCGCUGGGACGGAACUGACGCUAAGGCGCGAAAGCGUGGGGAGCGAACAGG
rnacentral:rRNA from 1 species